rnacentral:rRNA from 1 species
AUGGGGGGGCUCCGCCGCGGCGGAGGCACGGACGGACUCCACUCCCGCCGCCGCCGCCACCACCACAGCCCCAGCCACAAUGCCGCGCCCCAUCUCGCCGCCGGAGUUGGAUCCUCGAGCAAACAAGGUGGUGAACUUGGGAUGCAUUCCAAUUCCUUGUUUGAUGGGAGCAGGCUUUGUACACCCAAAAGAGCUGGUCGCACCCCGAUGAAAAUGCUAAUAGAUGACGAUGUCUACAGAGAUGUCACUGCUAGGCACACAUCGCCUGGUGUUGUGGGCAGGCUAAUGGGCCUUGACAUAAUGCCUUCACUUGGAGUGCACAGCCAAGAUACAUGUAACGGGGACCGUUCACAGGGCAGGUCGCCAGGGAGUUGCAGUGAUAAAUCAGGGAAUUAUAGUGACAGGCAUGCCUUCUCGGGAGAUGUUCCACAUAGGGCAAGCACUGAUGAGAUUCCAGAAUUCAAAGAUGUUUUCGAGGUAAUGGAGACCACCAAAACGAAGAACCGAAACCGUAACACGUGUUCUGGACAUGACAGGGUCAACAAUGCUGACCUUAAUUUUGUAAGGCAGAAGUUUAUGGAUGCAAAACGCCUUUCCACUGAUGAAUCUUUUCAGAGAUCGAAAGAGUUCAAUAGUGCGCUAGAGGCAUUGGUAUCAAACAAAGAUGCUCUCAUGGAAAUUCUUCAAGAAUCCAACAAUGUUGCCGCGAGUGAUCUGUCCGGCCUUGGUUGUCCUCCAUCCUCUGGUGUAAACCGGAUCACGCUGUUGAAACCAUCCAGAAGAAGUAAGUUUAUUGAUGCAGAUAUUGUGUAUCCACCAGAAGAUGACACUGAACGGUGUUUUCACUCACCAAAAGAAGCAAAGCAUUCUCCAAGGAAGCCUCAUAGUAACUUUUCCAGUGAACCUCCCAGAGAAGAAACCGGUUCUUUCAGACAAAAGUUGUCUAGGUCAAGCUACAGGGAGAGCAUUGAUAAGCGUGUUUCUCCCACUCGGAUUGUUGUCUUGAAACCAUGCCUUGAUAAAAAUCUGAACAUGGAAGGAGCAUUUCCAAUAACCAAUGACAUGUUCUGCUCCAGUUACAGAAGGACUGAAGCAUGCCUGGAUGAUGGCAUUCAAAGGCAGCAUGCAGAAGAAUCCAUGCCUCAGAUCUCCACAGCAUAUCCCGAUGCACGGCGCCAGAGAGCAAAGGAGUCCAGAGAAAUUGCUCGAGAGGUUUCAACACAGAUGAAGACAGUUGCUGCUGUCAGGGGAGGUGCAAAUGGAAAGCAGAAACUCAGUCCAGAUAUUGGGACGUCCAACCAGGAUGAGCAGGUGUCUUUGUUGACAUCCAUGGCUAAGCUAAAAAGUUCGGCAGCAUUGCAAAGAUCUUCUGGUGUGCAUGAUGCUCCGGAUGGUUCUUGCGCAGGGACUUCACCGACACAUUCAGCUAAGAGAUCCAUCAGGAAGGAAGCAAGGAGACGCCUAGCUGACAGAUGGAGGACGACCCAGCAACAUCAACAUCCAUCACAAGAUGGUAAUGCUACAUUCAGCACACUCGGGGACAUGCUUGCUCUCUCUGACAAAGAGACCUCAAAGUUUACUUCAGGGGCAGCAGCUAGCCGGCAAUGGCCAGAGGGCGAGUCACAUAGGGAUGUGAUGCCAGGAUCAUGUGGUUAUCCUCUUGGUAUCAGCAGCAAUGAUGGCUGGAAAGAUGAUAACAUAUGUGGCUUAACAAGGUUGGAGUCUGUUUCUACAUCAUCCAUCAACCGAGGGAGUCCGAAAUCGAGCAGCAGAAAAGCAAGUUGCACACAUGGUGAAUAUUCUGUGGCAGAGAACAUCAUCGGAUCAGGGCCAUAUAGUUCUGAAGAUCUGCAUCAGGACAGACCAAGGAGAUCGUCAGUCAGAAGUUCGACAUAUCGCUCUGAUGAAAGCGAUGUGCAGUCUCUGGACGAAGUGCAAAGUGUGGUGACCGAACGCGAGAUCCAUGUGAAUUUUGAAGAACCAACUUACACCGGUGCAGUGCCAGAGCUAUCUGAAACUGGAGGAAGACUUGUGCAUGUUGGAAAUUCUGACCAUUUGGAUAGCAGCCAUGCAGUUCCAAAAUGGCAGGGUGAGGCCCAGUCUUCUGCACAGAACAUGAUGCUGGACCAAGAGCACGCAUUCGCAGCAGAUGACCAUUUUAUUGUCCCUAGUCCUAGAUAUUCAGCAUCUCAGAUUGAGGGGAAUGGGCACGAUCGAUGUGAUGAUAAUGAAGCUCCGUCCGAUCAUCUGACAGAACUAGUAUCCGUCGUGAGCUCCAACGAAGACGAACAACCGAGUCCGGUGUCCGUCCUCGGAUCGUCCGUGGAUGCCGAGGACUGUUGUUCAGGAGGUUUUGAGAAAAUAAGUGCAGACCUUCAAGGGCUCAGGAUGCAACUUCGGCUGCUCAAGAUGGAGGCGACGGGCGACGGGGACGACGAAACCGACCUCGCUCUGUUCACUGACGAUGACGAGGCCGCCGCGAACUGCGAGCCGGCCAAUGAAAGCGCGCCGACAACGUCCCGGACUUUCCGGGAUGAAGACGAGAGGGACUUCUCUUAUGUGGCUGACAUGCUCACAUUUCUAGGAAGUAUUCAGAGCUCUGAGCAUGAUCUUCUGCUCGACGCGCGCUAUCUGUCGGGAUCUCGCGGGCGUGGCGACGUGUACGAUGAUCUCGAAAGGAAGUACGGCGAACUCGUCUUGUGGCCGCGGCCUGAGAGGCGGCUCCUCUUUGAUCUGGCAAAUGAUGUCCUUGUAGAUACCAUCACCUAUUUGACACAAUGUGGCAGUCAGCAGGGGUUGGCGAAGAAGUGUCAGCUGGGCAUGGAAUGGGACAAGGAGCAGAUCACGGAGGAGGUUUGGGAGAGGGUGCGCCGGCAACGGCGGGAGACAGAGUGCUUCCAGGAGGAGAAGCUGAUGGGCGUGGGGUGGCUGGACUGCGAGGAUGUCACUGAUGAGAUAGUGGAGGACAUUGGGAGCAUGCUGGGUGAGGAUCUCCUGGAGGAAGCCAUAGCUGAUCUGUACCUGCUGGACCUUUUUGGUUAA